GCGGUCGUGGCGGAAUUGGUAGACGCACUACCUUGAGGUGGUAGCGCUCACAAGGCGUGGAGGUUCGAGUCCUCUCGACCGCA
rnacentral:tRNA from 1 species